UUCAGGACUCUGAACUUGGAAAACAUUCCUUUCUAGGUUUAAGUUUAAUCCCACAAAACCAAACUAAUAAAACAAACUAUGGGCUGGAGAGAUGACUCAGUGGUUGAGUGUUGGCCGUACAAUCAGGAAGACUUCAGUUUGGACCCCAGCACCCAUAGAACAAGCUGAUCCUCUUUUGGCAUCAGAGAUACACACAUCUGCACAACUAUACACACAGUGAAAUGAACACUGAUAGAAUACCCAGGAUCUUCCCACCAUCAGAUCUGUGUUGCCACACACCAUGUGUUCCACCUGUAGACCAGAAGCUGCACUUAUCCCAGGAGAGCCAUGAACAGAGCACAAUGUGUUUGUAGGUAAUCAAAAGGUUGGACUUUCCUGAUUUAAGGCUAAGAGGACCUCAUGUGAAUUUGGCAAUGUGAUGCCACAGUAGUCUUAAGAUGCAGAAAACAGCACUGGGGAGACAGCUCAAUCAAUAAAGUGCUCUCCACUCCAAGUGUGAGAGCCGGAGUUCCACCAACACCUGUGUAAAAGCUGGAUGAAACAUGAUUCUCUGUACAUAUGUGCAAGCACACCCACACACAUGAACACAUAUCUGUAGAAUGAAAAUAAAAAUACAUUUUUUUCUUUUGGAAAUAUAUUGGAAUGUUACAUUA